GUCCCAUAACAAAACUCAGAGCAUAACUUAUUCGUUUUCUUCGUUGGGCCGGCGAAUUGUGAAGCCCUUCGUGGUGAAACGCAGCUUUUUUAUUCGGUUUAACAUGGAGUGCUUCCUCGCGGCUCCGGAGCCGAUGGCGACUCGCGUUCCCCAGAUGAUCUUUCGUCUCCUUCGUCCUGCGCAUCUCUGUAACCGAUCGAGCGUCUUUAAUCCCCCCAUUAAUCGAUUACCCACGAUCUAGAUGCAUGACGUUGGAGUCGGCUAUAAGAAGGUGUGCUUUCAAGAGUUUUCUUCACUGACUUGAAAACCGGCAGUUGAUCAUCGGUCGUGGAGACUAGGCUCAUGCGGUUCUGGGAGGCUAGAAGUGCUAGGCGUGGGGGUGAGCUCAUGAGAGUUGACAUGCUACUGGUAGACGUAAAUUCUACUAUGAUCCAAGCAAGAAUCAAUGCUCCUCGCCUUUCAAAAUUGACGUGGUUCCAUGUAUUCAUAACCGCAGGCUUACCGACUCACCCCUGUUGAUUCGAUUCAAUGGUACUACCGGCUUUGAUGAGAUAACCGAACCAGCAUUUCCCCUGCCUAAAGAAGGUUUCAGAUUCCGUGAUGAAACAGACUUGCUAAGACUAGCAAACACCAACACUCGGCUGCCAGGUGCCUUCUUAAUUCUCAAUAAGUUUGUUAGCCCUAUAUCCAUGUUUAAUAUUAAUAUAGAUGUCCGGAAUACAUUUUGGCUGAGAUUACUGCUGUCAAGAGCACCGUGAGCGAUCCUCCAAAAGGAAAAAAUCAUGUUAUGGUGACAGUAAAAUUUGAUAACGAUAACCCUGUGAUAUUGAGUCUGUUCGACAAUCAAGCAAUCGAUUUUCACAGAAGACUUGAUUCCAUGCGUGUUGAUCCAAGGGUGAUUGUUGCCACAAACAUUAACCCAAGAACAGUUGGAGGUAUUUUAUUUUAGUUACUGGUCUCUAAAGCCACUGGGAACAUUCCAGUACCUACAUUUCUGAGAGGAUACGCCAAGGUCAAGCCUUUGAGCAUACAUGAGCUGAAUGAGUUUGUCAUCACCGCCCAGCCUCAGGACGUUGAAUUUGACUGCACCGGAAAGGUGACUGGUGUUACGUCUCCUGCUCUAGGUGCACAAAGAAACUCCAACGAACUGUCGCAUUCUUUACUUGCGUAACGUGCAAUAACACUAACGUUAUUGGUGUGCUCAGGUAUCAUGUGGAGCAUUGCUGAUGACACGGAUGAAGGUUUGUUUGUUGGUUUCGAUGGAGAGAUGACGAAGCUACACAACAUGCGAGCCUAUGAAGCAGUUCAUCUAACGGCUGGAGAGGGAGUUAAUUCAGAGGAGACUCAGCCACCUCCAUUUAUUGCAGACAUGGUUGGUAAGACAUACAACUUCCAGGUUAGAGUAAGCAGAUACAAUUUUACUGCCAACCAUCAAACCUUCACGAUCUCUCGCAUCAUGAACGAACGUGACCGUCUGCCACGCCCCGACUUUGUUCCAAACGUGACAUGCCUGGUGCCAACUCAGUACUCUCUAAGGUCAAAGCUGAUAGCAAUGAUCAUGAGGAAUCAUCAUCUGGAGGAACAUCGCCCAGUUGUGUCGCUACCAAGAAGGCUCGCGCAUAGAAGCUUCGAAGGCACGGAAGGAGUAAUUGGAGAUGAUAGUGUCUCGAGUCAGUUUUUAAAAUUUGAAUAAUGCUUUCGCAUCGAUGUGGUUUUUCAAUUAAGUCCUCUAGAGUUUGGUAUGUUUUUUUUACUAAAAAAUACUAUUAUGAAAAUAAUGAUUUUCUGCAUUGUAGCAAAGCUUUCCCAUCUAAUUAAUCACUAAGUUUGGGUU